GAUGAACGCUGGCGGCGUGCCUAAUACAUGCAAGUAGAGCGAACGGACGAGAAGCUUGCUUUUUUGAUGUUAACGGCGGACGGGUGAGUAACACGUGGAUAACUUACUUAUAAGACUGGGAUAACUUCGGGAAACCGGAGCUAAUACCGGAUAAUAUUUUGAACUGCAUGGUUCAAAAGUGAAAGACGGUAUUGCUGACACUUAUAGAUGGAUCCGCGCUGCAUUAGCUAGUUGGUAAGGUAACGGCUUACCAAGGCAACGAUGCAUAGCCGACCUGGGAGGGGAAUCGGCCACACGGGAACUGGGACACGGUCCAGACUCCUACGGGAGGCAGCAUUAGGGAAUCUUCCGCAAUGGGCGAAAGCCUGACGGAGCAACGCCGCGUGGUUGAUGAAGGUCUUCGGAUCGUAAGCCUCUUUUAUUAGGGAAGAACAUAUGUGUAAUUAACUGUGCACAUCUUGACGGUACCUAAUCAGAAAGCCACGGCUAACUACGUG
rnacentral:rRNA from 1 species